UACGUAGGCAGCAAGCGUUGUUCGGAAUUACUGGGCGUAAAGAGUGUGUAGGCGGUGCUCUAAGUCUGUUGUGAAAUCUCCCGGCUUAACCGGGAGGGUGCGGCGGAAACUGGAGUGCUUGAGGGUGGGAGAGGUAAGUGGAAUUCCCGGUGUAGCGGUGAAAUGCGCAGAUAUCGGGAAGAACACCCGUGGCGAAGGCGGCUCUCUGGGACGGUACUGACGCUGAGACGCGAAAGCGUGGGGAGCGAACAGG
rnacentral:rRNA from 1 species